rnacentral:rRNA from 1 species
AGUUAUUGGAGAGUUUGAUCCUGGCUCAGGAUGAACGCUGGCGGCGUGCCUAAUACAUCAAGUCGAGCGAAUGGAUUAAGAGCUUGCUCUUAUGAAGUUGGCGGCGGACGGGUGAGUAACACGUUGGGUAACCUGCCCAUAAGACUGGAAUAACUCCGGGAAACCGGGGCUAUACCGGAUAACAUUUUGAACGCAUGGUUCGAAAUUGAAAGGCGGCUUCGGCUUUCACUUAUGGAUGGACCCGCGUCGCAUUAGCUAGUUGGUGGGGGUAACGGCUCACCAAGGCAAACAUGCGUAGCCGACCUGAGAGGGUGAUCGGCACACUGGGACUGAGACACGGCCCAGACUCCUACGGGAGGCAGCAGUUAGGGAAUCUUCCGCAAUGGACGAAAGUCUGACGGAGCAACGCCGGUGAGUGAUGAAGGCUUUCGGGUCGUAAACCUCUGUUGUUAGGGAAGAACAAGUGCUAGUUGAUAAGCUGGCACCUUGACGGUACCUAACCAGAAAGCCACGGCUAACUACGGGCCAGCAGCCGCGGUAAUACGUAGGUUGCAAGCGUUAUCCGGAAUUAUGGGGCGUAUUGAUCAGUCGCUGAUGCUUGCUUAGGGGAUUGCGAUCCCAGUCGAUCGAUUUUAGUCGAGAAUGCUAGAUCGAUUUC